CCUACGGGAGGCAGCAGUAAGGAAUAUUGGUCAAUGGAGGCAACUCUGAACCAGCCAUGCCGCGUGCAGGAAGACAGCCCUAUGGGUCGUAAACUGCUUUUAUACGGGAAUAAACUUUGAUUCGUGAAUCAAGCUGAAUGUACCGUAAGAAUAAGGAUCGGCUAACUCCGUGCCAGCAGCCGCGGUAAUACGGAGGAUCCAAGCGUUAUCCGGGAUUUAUUGGGUUUAAAGGGAGCGUAGGCGGCCUAUUAAGUCAGGGGUGAAAGACGGUGGCUCAACCAUCGCAGUGCCUUUGAUACUGAUGGGCUUGAAUAUAGUUGAGGUAGGCGGAAUGUGACAAGUAGCGGUGAAAUGCAUAGAUAUGUCACAGAACACCGAUUGCGAAGGCAGCUUACUAAGCUAUGAUUGACGCUGAGGCUCGAAAGCGUGGGGAUCAAACAGGAUUAGAUACCCUGGUAGUCCACGCCCUAAACGAUGAUAACUCGAUGUUGGCGAUAUACAGUCNGCGCACGACGAAGACGUUAAGUUACUCCACCGUCGGGAGGUACCGCCCGCCGACGGUAGAACGUACGAAACGGUAAGUUAGUACGGACGUAGAGACGCGACCGACGGACGACGACGAGGGAGGAGG
rnacentral:rRNA from 1 species